GAUUAUUCCGAGGGGUGCGCCGUCGCGCUGAGAGCCGGGUUUGUCCGGCAACUCUUUGAACCUGAUCCGGGUUGCGCCGGCGGAGGGACGGGAUUUGCCUUUGUU
rnacentral:ncRNA from 1 species